GAUGAACGCUGGCGGCGUGCUUAACACAUGCAAGUCGAACGGAAAGGCUCCUGCUUGCAGGGGUACUCGAGUGGCGAACGGGUGAGUAACACGUGGGUGAUCUGCCCUGCACUUCGGGAUAAGCCUGGGAAACUGGGUCUAAUACCGGAUAGGACCACAUUUUGGAUGGUGUGGUGGAAAGUUUUUCGGUGUGGGAUGAGCUCGCGGCCUAUCAGCUUGUUGGUGGGGUAAUGGCCUACCAAGGCGUCGACGGGUAGCCGGCCUGAGAGGGUGUACGGCCACAUUGGGACUGAGAUACGGCCCAGACUCCUACGGGAGGCAGCAGUGGGGAGUAUUGCACAAUGGGCGCAAGCCUGAUGCAGCGACGCCGCGUGGGGGAUGACGGCCUUCGGGUUGUAAACUCCUUUCGCUAGGGACGAAGCGCAAGUGACGGUACCUGGAGAAGAAGCACCGGCUAACUACGUG
rnacentral:rRNA from 1 species